rnacentral:rRNA from 1 species
AACGAACGCUGGCGGCAGGCUUAACACAUGCAAGUCGAGCGCCCCGCAAGGGGAGCGGCAGACGGGUGAGUAUCGCGUGGGAAUCUACCCAUCCCUACGGAAUAGCUCCGGGGAACUGGAAUUAAUACCGUAUACGCCCUACGGGGGAAAGAUUUAUCGGGGAUGGAUGAGCCCGCGUUGGAUUAGCUAGUUGGUGGGGUAAAGGCCUACCAAGGCGACGAUCCAUAGCUGGUCUGAGAGGAUGAUCAGCCACAUUGGGAAUUAGACACGGCCCAAACUCCUACGGGAGGCAGCAGUGGGGAAGAUUGGACAAUGGGGGCAACCCUGAUCCAGCCAUGCCGCGUGAGUGAUGAAGGCCUUAGGGUUGUAAAGCUCUUUCACCGGGGAAGAUAAUGACGGUACCCGGAGAAGAAGCCCCGGCUAACUUCGUGCCAGCCGCCGCGGUAA